rnacentral:tRNA from 4 species
GGCGGGAUAGCUCAGUUGGCUAGAGCACGCGGUUCAUACCCGCGGUGUCGCUGGUUCAAAUCCAGUUCCCGCUACUA